CCGGUUCGUCUACCAUCUCCCAGGAUAUCUAGUCAGGCUGUCCACAUUUUCCACUUAUCAAUUCACAUAACCUUUUUGCCUUUUUCUUUAAUCUCAAUCAUCCAAUCAUACACAACAUGUAAACUAGUAAUUGACACCAAAUAAGACAAUACAGUACCGGGUUCACCAUAAUACAAACCAUAAUAAAAGAAACUAUAGUUCAUGCAUACGAGACCAUAACAUAAUUACAUCAAACAUCAUGCUGCAUUUAAUACUGGAAAUUAGACCAAAUAAUAACAGACCAACACUGUAUCAGACUCGAGCCCCAUUGGCAACCUAAAUCAAUUAUACAUCUAUAAAGUCACACAGUACAGUUUAAUUAUUUAUUUAGCUUUAAUACCGUGAUAGGAAAUAGGGUGAGGG
rnacentral:lncRNA from 1 species